GUGAAUCAUCGAAUUUUUGAACGCAAAUUGCGCUUCCUGGGAUCCCGGGGAGUAUGCCUGUUUGAGGGUAAGUAUUAACAAAAAAUCGGUUUGGUUGCAAAUUGUGUCGUUUGCGGAGUUUGGGCUUAUCUUAAUUUUUUUGGUUAAGGGGCUUAAAAUUGACCUUUUUUGCGAAUUUUUGUAUGUACAUAAAUUUUUUUUUAUUCGUCUAUUCAUAAUGCCUAAAUAGUAUUAGAUGCGAUAACAACG
rnacentral:misc_RNA from 1 species